CCUACGGGUGGCAGCAGUGGGGGAUAUUGCACAAUGGGGGAAACCCUGAUGCAGCGAUGCCGCGUGAAUGAAGAAGGUCUUCGGAUUGUAAAGUUCUUUAGUCAGGGAAGAAGUCAAUGACGGUACCUGAAGAAUAAGCUCCGGCUAACUACGUGCCAGCAGCCGCGGUAAUACGUAGGGAGCAAGCGUUGUUCGGAAUGACUGGGCGUAAAGGGUGCGUAGGCGGUUGUACAAGUUAGAAGUGAAAUACCCAGGGCUUAACUCGGGUGCUGCUUCUAAAACUGUAUGACUUGAGUGCAGUAGAGGUUAGUGGAAUUCCUAGUGUAGCGGUGGAAUGCGUAGAUAUUAGGAGGAACACCAGAGGCGAAGGCGGCUAACUGGACUGCAACUGACGCUGAGGCACGAAAGUGUGGGGAGCAAACAGGAUUAGAUACCCUUGUAGUC
rnacentral:rRNA from 1 species